GCUAAGAAUAUUCCGCAAUGGACGAAAGUCUGACGGAGCGACGCCGCGUGGAUGAUGAAGGCCGGAAGGUUGUAAAAUCCUUUUAUGACUGAGGAAUAAGUUUUCUGAGAGAAACGGAAGAUGGUGACUGUAGGUCAUGAAUAAGCAACGGCUAAUUACGUGCCAGCAGCCGCGGUAACACGUAAGUUGCGAGCGUUGUUCGGAAUUAUUGGGCGUAAAGGGUAUGUAGGCGGUUCUGCAAGUCUGGUGUGAAAUGCCGGGGCUCAACCCCGGAACUGCGUUGGAAACUGCAGGACUUGAAUCGCUGAGGGGCAGCCAGAAUUCCAGGUGUAGGGGUGAAAUCUGUAGAUAUCUGGAAGAAUACCAAUGGCGAAGGCAGGCUGCCAGCAGAUGAUUGACGCUGAGGUACGAAGGUGCGGGGAGCAAACAGG
rnacentral:rRNA from 1 species